AUGGGCUCGUCUUCCUCCGCCGUUUGCCUGCUAGCCUUGCUAGCAGUGUUUGCGUCUGCAGCUGGUUUCGCAGCUGCACAGCCGGUGGUCGUCACGGCCGCGUACAACAUCGGCAAUGACGAUUACAUGGCCUUCAUCGACCAGCUCCGUGCCACUCUGGCCGCUCACCCGAGCCCAGACAACGUCAACGGCCAUCCUGUUCUCCCCCUGCAACACGAGAAGCAGCCGCCGGCGAGGUGGCUGCACGUUCCCAUCACAGCGGGCGACAAGAAGGUGACGCUGGCGCUGAGGGACGACAACGUGUACCUCGUCGGAUUCAAGGCCCAGAGCGGCAGCUGGUACGAGUUCCGCUCCGCGGUGGCGCCAGGGAGGAAGCAGCCGCUGAUCCACGGCGCUACGUUCCUCGAAUGCGAGGACACCUACAGGGCGCUUCUAGGCGGCAAGAAGAGCAAAGAAGUCAAGCAGAAGGUAAGCAACCUUGAACUGGGGAAGACGGCGGCGGAAGCAGCCGUGAAGAAGUUGGCGGCAUAUGCUCAUGCCGCCGGCGGGCCGGACGACGCCACCAAGGUCGCCUUGGCACGCAUGGUCAUCACCGUCUGCGAGGCGGUCCGCCUGUCCUCGAUCUCCACUACCCUCAGCACUGGCUGGGGCCAGGCGGCGACGGUGAAGCUCGACCAUCUCCAACCUUUCUACAUGCAGAACUGGGGAGACCUAUCUACUGCCAUACUAGACCGGAGGAAACAUGGACCUACGUACCCAUGGCCCAAGAAGGUCUGCGAGGAGACGCACAUCGAGGACGCCGCCGGCGCGCUCGCGGUGGUGCAGCUUCUGCUUAAACGUAGUACUUAA
rnacentral:rRNA from 1 species